GGGCUCGCUUCAGCAGCACAUAUACUAAAGUUGGAACGAUACACAGAAGAUUAGCAUGGUCCCUGAGCAAGGAUAACAAGCAAAUUCGUGAAGCGUUCCACAUUUUG
ensembl:snRNA U6 U6 spliceosomal RNA